UGGCGCACGGGUGCGUAACGCGUGGGAAUCUACCCUUAGGUUCGGAAUAACUCAGAGAAAUUUGAGCUAAUACCGGAUAAUGUCUUCGGACCAAAGAUUUAUCGCCUUUGGAUGAGCCCGCGUAAGAUUAGCUAGUUGGUGAGGUAAAGGCUCACCAAGGCGACGAUCUUUAGCUGGUCUGAGAGGAUGAUCAGCCACACUGGGACUGAGACACGGCCCAGACUCCUACGGGAGGCAGCAGUGGGGAAUAUUGGACAAUGGGCGCAAGCCUGAUCCAGCAAUGCCGCGUGAGUGAUGAAGGCCCUCGGGUCGUAAAGCUCUUUUACCAGGGAUGAUAAUGACAGUACCUGGAGAAUAAGCUCCGGCUAACUCCGUGCCAGCAGCCGCGGUAAUACGGAGGGAGCUAGCGUUGUUCGGAAUUACUGGGCGUAAAGCGCGCGUAGGCGGUAUGCCAAGUCAGAGGUGAAAUCCCGGGGCUCAACCCCGGAACUGCCUUUGAAACUAGCAGACUAGAAUCUUGGAGAGGUCAGUGGAAUUCCGAGUGUAGAGGUGAAAUUCGUAGAUAUUCGGAAGAACACCAGUGGCGAAGGCGACUGACUG
rnacentral:rRNA from 1 species